GGAUCUUUGGUGUAGUGGUAUCAUGUUCGCUUAGGGUCCAAGACUCUCUUUGCGAGACACAGCUGUGUGCGUGCGACCUGGGUUCGAUUCCCGGAAGAUCCC